AUAUAAUAUUAUUUAGUGCAUAUGAACAGGCCCUUAAUGUCGAAAGGAGUUGUUUUCUCGCAUAAAUGUUGUGCCAUCUUGUAUUCACACGCUACGAAUUCGAGAGGUAUGGCGCAUCGAAGGACAGCUAUUUGCUACGACCUAGUUACUGCUCUAUUCAGCGACGAACAGUGGUAUCAAAAUUUCCGAGUCAACUACAGCAACAUUCACAUUCUGUGUUAUUUAAAUUUGUUUUAUAACUUUGUUUUUUUUUUAAUUUUUGGCAAGUUGUAGUUUUUCGCCGCUUGCUGCCAUGUUGGAAAGAGGACAAUUUGUUUUGCGCAUGCUCGAUGUCGAACACAUUUUUUAUUUUUUUCGAAAUUUGGGCACGGCACCCUUUGCUAGACGUGC